UCCAUGAAAUCAUCAGCAUUGUUACUUUGUACAAUUACUAAGCCAAUACAUUUGAACAUUACCAUGUAACCAUGUUUUAACCAUGUAAAGUGUUAACACAUGAAUUCAUAAAUUGAACACAUUCAUAGAUCAAACAAUACAAUCAAUAAAUAAAUGUAACCAGUAAUUAAUAUGUUUUAUUCUUUUAAUUGACAAAGUGUUUUAUCAUUAGAUGGGUAUAGUUAAAUAAUGAUUUUAUCAAUUAUAUUUAUAGAUACUCUUAUGAUCAGGGUUCGAAAUGAGGGGGGUCUGGGGGGGUCCCGGACCCUCCAUAAGUCAUUAGGGACCCCCCAUAAGAAUUCAUUUUUGAAUUUUUGUCCCUGACAAAUAUAUUUUAACAUUAAAAAUGAUUGUGAAAAUUAUAGGUUUUAGUGACGUUUUGUAUUUAUAACAGUAAUUAAUUUAUUUCCUAGCGCGAGGCAGCAAUCAGGGCAGCUAUUAGCUCUAGCUAUUAGCUUAGUUCUUAUACAGCGUCACAGAUUGUUGUUGUGGUGCUCCCGCAGACACGUACUAGAUAAACGCGGCAAAACGAGACAUCACAAAGAGUGAAAUCCUGAAUGAAAAUCCUAAUCCUGCACAUGGAGAGAAAAAGAGGGAAAAGAAAGAUCACCGACUUUUUUCAAGGACUGACUUGUCUGUCGGCGCACAGAGCCACGCAGUCGCAGACAGCACGUGAAGUUGGUGAACGCCGAAUCGUGUUGAGGAGGAAGAUGAUGGAGAGCUGUGAGAGAAGAGGAAGAGGGUCUUUCUCAGGUUCUUCUGAGGCAAGGAUAGGAGGAUGGUCUCUAUAUAUUCACUUUGGAUUUUUACAAACUGGAAG